CUAAGUACCCCGAGGAAAAGAAAUCAACCGAGAUUCCCCCAGUAGCGGCGAGCGAACGGGGAGCAGCCCAGAGUCUGAAUCAGCUUGUGUGUUAGUGGAACGGUCUGGAAAGUCCGACGGUACAGGGUGAUAGUCCCGUACACCAAAAUGCACAGGYUGUGAACUCGAAGAGUAGGGCGGGACACGUGGUAUCCUGUCUGAAUAUGGGGGGACCAUCCUCCAAGGCUAAAUACUCCUGACUGACCGAUAGUGAACCAGUACCGUGAGGGAAAGGCGAAAAGAACCCCGGCGAGGGGAGUGAAAAAGAACCUGAAACCGUGUACGUACAAGCAGUGGGAGCACCUUCGGGUGUGACUGCGUACCUUUUGUAUAAUGGGUCAGCGACUUAUAUUCUGUAGCAAGGUUAACCGUAUAGGGGAGCCGCAGGGAAACCGAGUCUUAACUGGGCGUUAAGUUGCAGGGUAUAGACCCGAAACCCGGUGAUCUAGCCAUGGGCAGGUUGAAGGUUGGGUAACACUAACUGGAGGACCGAACCGACUAAUGUUGAAAAAUUAGCGGAUGACUUGUGGCUGGGGGUGAAAGGCCAAUCAAACCGGGAGAUAGCUGGUUCUCCCCGAAAGCUAUUUAGGUAGCGCCUCGUGAAYUCAUCUUCGGGGGUAGAGCACUGUUUCGGCUAGGGGGUCAUCCCGACUUACCAACCCGAUGCAAACUACGAAUACCGAAGAAUGUUAUCACGGGAGACACACGGCGGGUGCUAACGUCCGUCGUGAAGAGGGAAACAACCCAGACCGCCAGCUAAGGUCCCAAAGUCAUGGUUAAGUGGGAAACGAUGUGGGAAGGCACAGACAGCCAGGAUGUUGGCUUAGAAGCAGCCAUCAUUUAAAGAAAGCGUAAUAGCUCACUGGUCGAGUCGGCCUGCGCGGAAGAUGUAACGGGGCUAAACCAUGCACCGAAGCUGCGGCAGCGACACUAUGUGUUGUUGGGUAGGGGAGCGUUCUGUAAGCCUGCGAAGGUGDSCUGUGAGGSWUGCUGGAGGUAUCAGAAGUGCGAAUGCUGACAUAAGUAACGAUAAAGCGGGUGAAAAGCCCGCUCGCCGGAAGACCAAGGGUUCCUGUCCAACGUUAAUCGGGGCAGGGUGAGUCGACCCCUAAGGCGAGGCCGAAAGGCGUAGUCGAUGGGAAACAGGUUAAUAUUCCUGUACUUGGUGUUACUGCGAAGGGGGGACGGAGAAGGCUAUGUUAGCCGGGCGACGGUUGUCCCGGUUUAAGCAUGUAGGCUGGUURUCCAGGCAAAUCCGGAUAAUCAAGGCUGAGGUGUGAUGACGAGGCACUACGGUGCUGAAGUAACAAAUGCYCUGCUUCCAGGAAAAGCCUCUAAGCAUCAGGUAACAUYAAAUCGUACCCCAAACCGACACAGGUGGUCAGGUAGAGAAUACCAAGGCGCUUGAGAKAACUCGGGUGAAGGAACUAGGCAAAAUGGUGCCGUAACUUCGGGAGAAGGCACGCUGGUGUGUAGGUGAAGYCCCUGCGGRUGGAGCUGAGACCAGUCGAAGAUACCAGCUGGCUGCAACUGUUUAUUAAAAACACAGCACUGUGCAAACACGAAAGUGGACGUAUACGGUGUGACGCCUGCCCGGUGCCGGAAGGUUAAUUGAUGGGGUUAUCCGUAAGGAGAAGCUCUUGAUCGAAGCCCCGGUAAACGGCGGCCGUAACUAUAACGGUCCUAAGGUAGCGAAAUUCCUUGUCGGGUAAGUUCCGACCUGCACGAAUGGCGUAAUGAUGGCCAGGCUGUCUCCACCCGAGACUCAGUGAAAUUGAACUCGCUGUGAAGAUGCAGUGUACCCGCGGCAAGACGGAAAGACCCCGUGAACCUUUACUAUAGCUUGACACUGAACAUUGAGCCUUGAUGUGUAGGAUAGGUGGGAGGCUUUGAAGCGUGGACGCCAGUCUGCGUGGAGCCAACCUUGAAAUACCACCCUUUAAUGUUUGAUGUUCUAACGUUGGCCCCUBAYCGGGGUUGCGGACAGUGUCUGGUGGGUAGUUUGACUGGGGCGGUCUCCUCCCAAAGCGUAACGGAGGAGCACGAAGGUUAGCUAAUCCUGGUCGGACAUCAGGAGGUUAGUGCAAUGGCAUAAGCUAGCUUGACUGCGAGCGUGACGGCGCGAGCAGGUGCGAAAGCAGGUCAUAGUGAUCCGGUGGUUCUGAAUGGAAGGGCCAUCGCUCAACGGAUAAAAGGUACUCCGGGGAUAACAGGCUGAUACCGCCCAAGAGUUCAUAUCGACGGCGGUGUUUGGCACCUCGAUGUCGGCUCAUCACAUCCUGGGGCUGAAGUAGGUCCCAAGGGUAUGGCUGUUCGCCAUUUAAAGUGGUACGCGAGCUGGGUUUAGAACGUCGUGAGACAGUUCGGUCCCUAUCUGCCGUGGGCGCUGGAGAAUUGAGGGGGGCUGCUCCUAGUACGAGAGGACCGGAGUGGACGCAUCACUGGUGUUCGGGUUGUCAUGCCAAUGGCACUGCCCGGUAGCUAAAUGCGGAAGAGAUAAGUGCUGAAAGC
rnacentral:rRNA from 1 species